rnacentral:tRNA from 1 species
GGGUCCUUAGCUCAGCUGGUUAGAGUGCUUGCUUGACAUGCAAGAGGUCACUGGUUCAAGUCCAGUAGGACCCACCA